rnacentral:tRNA from 1 species
UGCCCUGUAGCUCAGGAGGACAGAGCGCGCCGCUACGAACGGCGAGGUCCCGGGUUCGAGUCCUGGCAGGGCAG